ensembl:lncRNA
AUUCCAUUUGGGUUGCUCUCGGCUCCAGGAGAUGACUUCUUCAGGUCCAUAUCACUGAGGCUGUGAGUCUCAGCUAAGGAAACACCCAUGAUUCAUUGGCAUCUCUUACCCCAGCUCUCUGCCUCUUUCUGGAUGUGACCUCUACCUCCCCACCCCAUCCAUCUAGACUGCUGUGUCUGGCCUCAGUAGCAGAGGAUGUGAUCACAGAGACUGGAUAUGCAAGAGAACCCGGGGCCGAUCCCCAGCUCCCAAGUGACAGCUCACAAGUGGCAGUAAUUUCCGCAUUACGGAAUCUAACACCCUCUUCAACCUCCUGGACACUAGGCAUGGAUGUGCUGCACACGUGAACAAGCAGUCACACAGAACCCUGGACGGCACUGAGUCGAACUAAAACUUCACAUCUGACAAUUUGCUCCAAGGAACUAAAAAACCUGAAAGACAAAAUUGAUCCAACAAAAUAAGCCCUAAGUUGUAAUGAUUGACCCUCUAUAAAGAGAAAC